rnacentral:tRNA from 1 species
GGGGAUGUAGCUCAGCUGGGAGAGCACCUGCCUUGCAAGCAGGGGGUCAGCGGUUCGAUCCCGCUCAUCUCCACCA